AUUUAUACUUAUCCUUAAUUGUCAUUAUAUUAUUAGGAAUAGGACUAUAUUCCUAUAUAUAAUAUACGGGAGUUUUUAAAAAAUCCUAGCCGUCAUCUAUCCUCUUUUCUCUCUUCCAUCUUCUAGCAAGAAAGACGUCCUUUUGUAAGGGAGCUAGCACCCCUGUGAGGACAUCGAUCAAAUCAAGAAUCUCGUGUGGAUACCUAUAGAGGCCGGACGCGUGUGCGGCUUCAAGAGAACCGAAUUCCACGAUCAUCAAAUUGAGGAGAAUAUCUAUCCGCGAAAAAAGUAAAGAUUCGAUCUUAUUUUUCUUCUUUAAUCUUAAACAUGAGGGAUCCUAAUUGCGUGGUUUUUGAGAUUGGAUCUCGAGAGUUUUCAAAAAUCAAAUUUGUUUGAUUUCUUUUUCCGCUGCAUUUUUACCGUACGCAAUUUUCUAACAGGUCAGACCAAGUCGCGUUGGGU
rnacentral:lncRNA from 1 species